GGGCCUUAGCUCAGUUGGUAGAGCACCGCCUUUGCAAGGCGGGUGUCAGGGGUUCGCGCCUUAUCUG
rnacentral:tRNA from 1 species